GACGAACGCUGGCGGCGUGCUUAACACAUGCAAGUCGAACGGAAAGGCCCUGCUUUUGUGGGGUGCUCGAGUGGCGAACGGGUGAGUAACACGUGAGUAACCUGCCCUUGACUUUGGGAUAACUUCAGGAAACUGUGGCUAAUACCGGAUAGGAGCACCUGCUGCAUGGUGGGGGUUGGAAAGUUUCGGCGGUUGGGGAUGGACUCGCGGCUUAUCAGCUUGUUGGUGGGGUAGUGGCUUACCAAGGCUUUGACGGGUAGCCGGCCUGAGAGGGUGACCGGCCACAUUGGGACUGAGAUACGGCCCAGACUCCUACGGGAGGCAGCAGUGGGGAAUAUUGCACAAUGGGCGGAAGCCUGAUGCAGCAACGCCGCGUGCGGGAUGACGGCCGUCGGGUUGUAAACCGCUUUCGCCUGUGACGAAGCGUGAGUGACGGUAAUGGGUAAAGAAGCACCGGCUAACUACGUG
rnacentral:rRNA from 1 species